UGGGGAAUCUUGCGCAAUGGGCGAAAGCCUGACGCAGCAACGCCGCGUGGGGGAUGAAGGCUUUCGGGUUGUAAACCCCUUUCAGCAGGGACGAAUCAAGACGGUACCUGCAGAAGAAGCCCCGGCUAACUACGUGCCAGCAGCCGCGGUAACACGUAGGGGGCAAGCGUUGUCCGGAUUUAUUGGGCGUAAAGAGCUCGUAGGCGGCUCGAUAAGUCGGGUGUCAAAUCCUCAGGCUCAACCUGGGGCACCACCCGAUACUGUCGUGGCUAGAGUCCGGUAGGGGAGCGUGGAAUUCCUGGUGUAGCGGUGAAAUGCGCAGAUAUCAGGAGGAACACCAGCGGCGAAGGCGGCGCUCUGGGCCGGAACUGACGCUGAGGAGCGAAAGCGUGGGUAGCAAACA
rnacentral:rRNA from 1 species